rnacentral:rRNA from 1 species
GAUGAACGCUGGCGGCGUGCCUAAUACAUGCAAGUCGAGCGAACAGACGAGGAGCUUGCUCCUCUGACGUUAGCGGCGGACGGGUGAGUAACACGUGGAUAACCUACCUAUAAGACUGGGAUAACUUCGGGAAACCGGAGCUAAUACCGGAUAAUAUAUUGAACCGCAUGGUUCAAUAGUGAAAGACGGUUUUGCUGUCACUUAUAGAUGGAUCCGCGCCGCAUUAGCUAGUUGGUAAGGUAACGGCUUACCAAGGCAACGAUGCGUAGCCGACCUGAGAGGGUGAUCGGCCACACUGGAACUGAGACACGGUCCAGACUCCUACGGGAGGCAGCAGUAGGGAAUCUUCCGCAAAGGGCGAAAGCUUGACGGAGCAACGCCGCGUGAGUGAUGAAGGUCUUCGGAUCGUAAAACUCUGUUAUUAGGGAGGAACAAAUGUGUAAGUAACUAUGCACGUCUUGACGGUACCUAAUCAGAAAGCCACGGCUAACUACGUG